rnacentral:rRNA from 1 species
CCUACGGGGGGCAGCAGUGAGGAAUAUUGGUCAAUGGCCGCGAGCCUGAACCAGCCAAGUCGCGUGAAGGAUGAAUGCCCUACGGGUUGUAAACUUCUUUUAUAAGGGAAUAAAGUGAGGCACGUGUGCCUUUUUGUAUGUACCUUAUGAAUAAGCAUCGGCUAACUCCGUGCCAGCAGCCGCGGUAAUACGGAGGAUGCGAGCGUUAUCCGGAUUUAUUGGGUUUAAAGGGUGCGUAGAUGGGUUGUUAAGUCAGUUGUGAAAGUUUGCGGCUCAACCGUAAAAUUGCAGUUGAUACUGGAAGUCGUGAGUACGGUUGAGGUAGGCGGAAUGCGUGGUGUAGCGGUGAAAUGCAUAGAUAUCACGAAGAACUCCGAUUGCGAAGGCAGCUUACUAAACUGCCACUGACAUUGAAGCUCGAAAGUGUGGGUAUCAAACAGGAUUAGAUACCCUAGUAGUC